AUUUUAAUUUGGAUUUGAGGUCAUACACGACAAAUAAGUUGGCAAAAGAGUUUUAGACUUGUUGUUCCUAUUCGAAGUUCGUGGUAAAAGAAUCGCUGGCCUCAAGCUUGUUGUCGUCCAGUUCUCUGCCCCAAAAAAGGUAAUACUAGUCUUUGAUUCACGCCUCUUUUGUGCCUAAUGUAAGGACGAUUUGCUUUUGAUAGUUGUGUAGUGUUAGAUGUUGGUAUCCUGGGAGUGUCAUGACUUACUGUUGGUUGCCAAACUUUGAUACAAGUUUGUUUGUUGAUUCAACUGUUCUCUUGGUUUGUUUUGCUCGAAGCUUUCUAAUUCCGUAUGGCAUUGAGUUGGUUUCGUUCUAUUUUCUUCUUGUUAUUCUAACUAGUAUAAAUCAUGUGAGUUGCUUUUAAGACUAAGUUCCGUAAUCCACCUGAUGGUUGCUGCACCUCUAAAUUUCUUAUUUAAUAAUGUUGAUUACGUAUCCUUCGUUAUCGGGUAAUUCGAGUUAACUUGAAUCAAUAAAUUAGUCAUUUCCAAACCUCUGGAGCAUUUUUCUUUUUCUUUCUUGUGCUAAACUCGCCUUAUUUAAAUGAUCUAUUUAGCUAGUUAGUUUCUCAGUUGUAUGUCUUUAUCAUCUUCAUCCGUAAAUCAUGCUAAAAUUGAAUCUUGUCAUCCGUACUCAAGUUGGUUUUGAAUGUCUCUUUCUUCCGCUUCUCUCAAUUGCUUGGGAUUUAUUAUCUCAUUCGUGUAACAUGUCCUAUUUUAAUCGAAUUUAUGUCUCCAUUUAGUCUAAGUUUUAGUCGAAAAAUGCUUAAGUAAAAUGUAAUGGAUCAUUUUUUUUUCUCCGUUUCUUAUUAGUAAUUUUCUUAUCUUGUUGGCUCUGUUGUUUAAACUCAUAAAGAUUACGAUGUCGGUAAUUAGGAGGUCGUAGGAUUCACUUCAACAAUUAUCAAAGUAGUUUAUGUUUUGCUUCUGCUCUGUUUUGAUAGCUACUGGUUUAUCUUCUCCUUUCUUUAUAAUUGAUCUAUUGUUUAUUUGUUUUAAGUUCAUUAAGGUUGUGACCAUAAAGUGGAAAGUUGGCUAAAUAAAAAUGAUUUUACUAACAUUCCACCUGAUGCCUUCCAAGAUUAGUGUAAGUUUAGGAUUAUCCAAGUAUUGUGGCCGUAUUAAUUUUAUUUGCCUCUAGUUCGUCGUAGAAUCUAUUUUGAUUUAGUCAAAGUCGUGUUGUACCAUGGUUAGAAUGUUAACAUUAUAUUGAGUUUUUGAUCAUACUGUGAAUAACCUCUUUGCUAGCUUUAAAUGCUAUGAGAUUCUUAUUUUAGUUGAAUCAAUUUGGUAUCUGCAUUCCUCUUCUGCUAAUUCUUGUUCUUUUUUUUAUUAUUUAUGUUUUUUCUUGAUUGAAUCGUUGCGGUUGCGGUUGAGCUCACUGAACUCCCUACCUCCCUCCUUGCAUAUCGAGUUGGGCCACGGAGGCCCAAUCUUACUUCUUGUCGAGUUGAACUCAUCAUUUCGAGAAGUUGGAAGCUGAAACAGAUCUUGGAAAGUUCGAAAAGGGGUUGUAUACAAGAUAUAUACAGCUAUAUACAUCGAUAUAUAGGUCAAAAACGCAGGAAUACAGGGCUGAUGCAAAAUACAUGUAUUCGGAAGCAAGAAAUACAUGAAAAGAGCCUAUACACAUGCCGAUAUACACUGAUAUACAUGAGCUGUAUACCAAAAACGGGUUUUGUUUAAACCCCAAAAAAGAGUAGCGAAUUUGGCCCAAGAAAGGCCCAAAUUCAAUUUCUCCCUUACGCUUUAAUUAUUUAAUUGCGAUUACUUAUUAUUUGUUGUUUAACUCUAACUUUAGAAUUUUUGAUUAACUUAGUUGAAUUCCCCAAAAGACGAACUAUUCAUCUGAGUUGUUUUGUUUCUAACAAAA